GGCGCAGCUAGCCAAGGCGGCAGCCUCUGAUGUCAUGCGGGGAGUGUGAGGCGGCUGCGGGCGGUGCGUGGAGCGGGCGGCGGGAGCCAGAGCGAGCCCAGGCGAGGGACGCGUGAGGAGCCUGCGGAGAUCGGCUGCGGCUGGACGUCCCCCGGUACCCGAGCCAGCGGUCGGGCGGGCACCUGGCGCUCGGGGAGGGGAUGAGCUCGCCCAGGCGGCCGCGGGAGCGCUCCAGCCGGAGCGCCGGGAAGGAGCAGUAGGGCGCGUCUCCCCGCCCUGCCCGGGGAGCGCAGAGCCAGACCGCGGCGCUGCGAGCUCGCCCCAGCCCCGGGGCCGCUCGGAUCUGGGGGCGUCUGUCCCGCUGCUGCCCAGGGGGCACUGCCAGGGGCAGGGCUACGGCGAGCUGCCCCUUCCAGCCGGGGCUCCGUGAUCCCCCAGCCCGGCUCUUCGGCGGAGACUCCCGGAGCGUCUCAAGGCGGAGACCGAGCCAGGAGCUACCGACACGCGGGGCGCACCUGCUCCUGGGGGCCGGUCCCCAGGGCCAGCGCGAGCGGGGAUCCUGGCAGGGCAGCCGGGCACCGCGGCCUGCUGCACCUGAGGGCCAUGAGCUGUCCUCGACAUCUGGAGAGCCAAAGGAGCAGCCCCUUGUCCUUGGGACCUCAGCACUUAUAGAGGACCCUGCUGUGCCAAGAAGAGCCUUGCUGAAAGGAGCCCACCACCAGGAAAAGGCCAAAGGCUGCAGCCUCCUGUAGCCCCACCCAGGGUCUCUUGGGGCUCUCCCAAGAUCUGCUCCCUGGCAAAUGCUGAUCCAAUUAGUUCCUGCCCAGCAAAACAGAAGCAUGGCUGAAACCUUCCUGUUUAAACUAAGAUUGUACAUACUAUCCCAUUGCUCUGCUUGCCCAGGUAGACAUUCAGGACCAUCUGUCUCUGUGGAUUCAUCCCCGUCAGGUCAGUGCUGUUCUUAUGUGGAAUAUGUCCCCUUAUUUGAUGCCGUGCCUAGAUUU
rnacentral:lncRNA from 1 species